GCUCGCCAAGACUUGUCUGCAACAUCUGUGUCUUAAGUUUGAAUCUAAAUCCUUCAGCAACACUGAAGGUUGUCUGUAUUUGCCAUAUAAUGGUAAUGCACAAGAUAUCACUCUUGAAAUAACUCCUAAGGGGACGAGCAAAAGGAAAGUGUCUGCAUGGAAGCAUUGCUCAGCCUACAGGCAUAAUACUGAAGAUGAACAGUACUGUGGAAAUGGCAGAACGACUGACUACUGACUGCAUCAAGUCUAAACCCACUGACCUAACUAGGGCUAACAUGGGCAGAAGAAAUGCAACAACUUCCCUCACUUAAAAUGUCCAGAUGAUGGAUCAUGAAGAACAGCAAUUAUGAAAAUCAUUCUUACAAGAACUCAGCAGAAGGUCCUGGUACAAUGUCAGCUAAGGCCUGUGUAAGAGCAACAUGACAGAAGGCUCAGAGCAAAUACCUCCUGGUUUGAAGGUAUGGGAUGCCACAGUUCCGCUUCUGGCUUGGCUGCAUGCGUUCUACGUGACCUUGGUUGCAGGGUUAGCCUACCCGUUCCCCCAUUCCACUCCUCCCCUGCAUGAGAGCCAGCUACCAGGUGAAGCUACCCCCUCUCCUUGUCCUGUCUCCAGAGCAGAGGAGCGAAAGCAGGGCUGCUGCACUGUGGAGA